rnacentral:lncRNA from 1 species
AAACAAAUCCUUUCCUUCCUCAAUCUCAGGAAAUAUCACAGUCUUAUCAAAACAAUUGAUAGAAACUCGGUUAAACACCAACCAGUUCAUUCCCAAGAUAACAUCAAUCUGCACUAAUGGAAGACACACAAGGUCCAUCCCAAAGUCUCUACCAAAAAUAUUCAAAGGACAAUUUAAACAAACUGAAGUAGUAGUCACUGAACCCUUCGCAGGAGUAUCAAUCACCAUACUUCCAAGCAUCUCAGAUAUCUC